rnacentral:rRNA from 1 species
UACGGAGGGGACUAGCGUUGUUCGGAAUUACUGGGCGUAAAGCGCACGUAGGCGGAUUUGUAAGUCAGGGGUGAAAUCCCGGGGCUCAACCCCGGAACUGCCUUUGAUACUGCAAAUCUCGAGUCCGGAAGAGGUGAGUGGAAUUCCUAGUGUAGAGGUGAAAUUCGUAGAUAUUAGGAAGAACACCGGUGGCGAAGGCGGCGCUCUGGACCGAGACUGACGCUGAGGCGCGAAAGCGUGGGGAGCAAACAGGG